rnacentral:miRNA from 1 species
AAGCACAGACUCUGGCUCAGGACU